rnacentral:rRNA from 1 species
UACGAAGGGGGCUAGCGUUGUUCGGAAUCACUGGGCGUAAAGGGCGCGUAGGCGGCCGAUCAAGUCGGGGGUGAAAGCCUGUGGCUCAACCACAGAAUUGCCUUCGAUACUGUUUGGCUUGAGACCGGAAGAGGUUAGUGGAACUGCGAGUGUAGAGGUGAAAUUCGUAGAUAUUCGCAAGAACACCAGUGGCGAAGGCGGCUGACUGGUCCGGUUCUGACGCUGAGGCGCGAAAGCGUGGGGAGCCAAA